rnacentral:rRNA from 1 species
AACGAACGCUGGCGGCAUGCCUAACACAUGCAAGUCGAACGAGACCUUCGGGUCUAGUGGCGCACGGGUGCGUAACGCGUGGGAACCUGCCCUUAGGUUCGGAAUAACUCCCCGAAAGGGGUGCUAAUACCGGAUAAUGUCUUCGGACCAAAGAUUUAUCGCCUUUGGAUGGGCCCGCGUUGGAUUAGCUAGUUGGUAGGGUAAAAGCCUACCAAGGCGACGAUCCAUAGCUGGUCUGAGAGGAUGAUCAGCCACACUGGGACUGAGACACGGCCCAGACUCCUACGGGAGGCAGCAGUGGGGAAUAUUAGACAAUGGGCGAAAGCCUGAUCCAGCAAUGCCGCGUGAGUGAUGAAGGCCUUAGGGUUGUAAAGCUCUUUUACCCGGGAUGAUAAUGACAGUACCGGGAGAAUAAGCGCCGGCUAACUCCGUG